rnacentral:rRNA from 1 species
GUGUCAGCAGCCGCGGUAAGACAGAGGGUGCAAACGUUGUUCGGAAUUACUGGGCGUAAAGCGCGUGUAGGCGGCAUGACAAGUCGGAUGUGAAAGCCCUGGGCUCAACCCAGGAAGUGCAUUCGAUACUGCCGUGCUAGAGUCCCGGAGAGGGUGGUGGAACUCUCGGUGUAGAGGUGAAAUUCGUAGAUAUCGAGAAGAACACCGGUGGCGAAGGCGGCCACCUGGACGGUGACUGACGCUGAGACGCGAAAGCGUGGGGAGCAAACAGGAUUAGAAACCCUUGUAGUCC